rnacentral:rRNA from 1 species
UACGUAGGGGAGCAAGCGUUGUCCGGAAUCGUUGGCGUAAAGCGCGCGUAGGUGGCUUCGUAAGUCCGUUGUGAAAGUCAAAGGCUCAACCUUUGAAAGCCGUGGAUACUGCGGAGCUAGAGUACGGAAGAGGCGACUGGAAUUCCUGGUGUAGCAGUGAAAUGCGUAGAUAUCAGGAGGAACACCGAUGGCGAAGGCAGGUCUCUGGGCUGACACUGACGCUCAUGCACGAAAGCGUGGGGAGCAAACAGGAUACGAAA